AAAGUCGUAACAAGGUUUCCGUAGGUGAACCUGCGGAAGGAUCAUUAUCGAGUUAGGGUCUCUCGUAGGCCCGACCUCCAACCCUUUGUCUACCUUACCAUUUGUUGCUUCGGCGGGCCCGUCCCCCCUGCAAAAGGGGGCGACCGCCGGAGGGUUCUACACCCUCUGGCCUGCGCCCGCCGAUGGCCUUUAACCAAAUUCUUGUUGAAUCGUGUCGUCUGAGUUGAGAAAAUCAAUAACUAAAAACUUUCAACAACGGAUCUCUUGGUUCUG
rnacentral:misc_RNA from 1 species